rnacentral:rRNA from 1 species
UACGGGGGGGGGUAAGCGUUGUUCGGAAUUACUGGGCGUAAAGGGCUCGUAGGCGGCCAACUAAGUCAGACGUGAAAUCCCUCAGCUUAACUGGGGAACUGCGUCCGAUACUGGCAGGCUUGAAUCCGGGAGAGGGAUGUGGAAUUCCAGGUGUAGCGGUGAAAUGCGUAGAUAUCUGGAGGAACACCGGUGGCGAAGGCGGCAUCCUGGACCGGUAUUGACGCUGAGGCGCGAAAGCCAGGGGAGCAA